rnacentral:sRNA from 1 species
GGAAAAACAACAAAAAUGGGUCACUUAACAACAUAAGAAUAUAAAACCUGCUAUUGUCAAGUUGGUCUCUUGACCUAUGCAUCCCACUAAAGGAGGAAGGGGCUACAAAGAAAGGCCAGUAUGUGGAAUAUACUAGAAUUAUCAAGAUAGUUUGUAAACAAAAGUACUUUUACCCCAAAUUAUAAGCACAGAGAGUCAUCUCAAACCCAGUGGUUUAAGAUGUAUUCUACUUGAUAUUAUUGCUUUGCUACAGGACUGCAGCAAUGAAAUGACCCCUGGAGACAAUCUGCUACACCCAUAGACCAGUGUCUCUCAGCCAUCAUCAGAGAACCUUCCUCCUGUAGGAAAUGGGAACGAAUACAGAGACCCACAAUUGGACAGAGCCCAGAAUAGGAAAGACCUUGGAACACUCAGCCCUAAAUGGGAUGUCUUCAUCAAUCCUCUCCCCUCAAGGCUCAGGGAACUUCGAAGAAGAGGAGGCAGAAAGAUUGUAAGAGCCAGUGGGAUGGACGACACCAAGGAAACGCACCUUCCAAACAAGACAGGACUGACACAGCAUACAUGAACUCACAGAGACCGGGGCAGCAGUCUCCCCAUUCACAGUAUCAGCUACUGUGACAAGUCCUCCUGGUCAACCAGCAAUGUUCAUACUUUGUUUUUAUUUUUAUAAUAUUAUCAUGAAAUCCAUUAAAAGACUUUCAACAAUAAAAAAAAUGAAAAAAAGUAACCCACAUAGCAAAAGUCUCUUUGUAACAUAGAAAUUGUGGGGUAGAGAAUGAGAUUCCAAGAGCAGCCUGACAUCAAAGACAGAGCCCACUCUCUAGUAAACACUCUGUCUUCAUUGCUUAUCUAUAAGUGAGGUCACCAGACUUCAAUCUCCAUCAGCCACUGUUGUCUGUGUUGAGCGGAUCCUUUGUCUAUGUUCUGCACACAUGAAAGGACACAACAUAUGCCUUCUGGUACAUGUGACAAUUAUCAAGGUGACUGAGUGGGAUCCACAUGGCUUCCCCCAGCUUGCUAUUGCUCUUUUCCCACCCCAAUCUUGGUCUCUGCAGUGUACAUUGUAUUGCCUAUUCCCAAGUGACUUCUGAGCUCACAGAGAAGCUGACACAGGAAGUGGGAUUGGUCCCUCCAUUUCAGACUCAAGCUGAUUCAUCUCAAAGAGCUCUCCAGACCCAUCCGCUGAGAACUGUCUGCCCCCAUCCCCCAAUUCUGAAACUAGGAGUAAAGAGAAGAGCAAAAUGCCUCAAGAAUAAAAACAUUGUGUUUUCAAGAACAGCUAGAAGGUAACCCACUACCAAACAUGGUUAUUAUUGUUUAUCCCAUGACCUAAAAAUGCCCACAGAGGGAAAGAAGCUGGCCAUUCAGCUACUGAGAGAAAGCUUGGUCAGGAACUCUAGCUGACUCCUUAACUUUCCUGGUCAGUUUCUGGUGCAUGUCGCAAGACUGCAAUUUUCCCUCAGUCCAACUACUCUGGUUGUCUGCAGACAUUGUGAGCACUCGGUCUGCUAAUAAUUUGUUCUCUCUCUCUCUCUCUCUCUCUCUCUCUCUCUCCUAAUUACUGUUCUAUUAUUUUUGCUUGCUAUAUAAUUAAUAAACUUAUUCAAGACUCAAAAUACAAUGGGUAUGGUAGGUCAUUCUCUAAACUGUACAGAACCAUCCCUAUUUAAGGAUCUCUGAGGAGUCUCUGGUCUUUUGCAAUGACAUUUGAACUCGAGAUAUCUGAAAGUCACAGGCAAGUAUCUAGUCUGUGCUAUUGAGCAUCAAAAAUGGUCUCCUUAGGGAGUACAUUAGGGAGAGAUUUUGAGUUAGCUCCUGGAUAGUUACGUACCUGUUCCCAAACUGCUUUAAUCAUAACUAAGAUAAAUCUGUUACAUAGGCUAUGUCUGAUGCAAAGUUUCCCCACCUGGAUGACCCUUCCAAGUCUGGUCACACAUUGUUAUCUUGGCUUGGUUCUGCAUGCACUUUUUCUUCAGCAUUAGUGGCAGAUCUGUUAGCCUUCUCUGACUUCUGAGGGCUCCAAUGUCUUACUCAGUAAGAGCAGCUGAUGGAAAGAGUUGGAAGCGAUGUAGAAGGUACAGGUGAGCAACCUGGAUUUUCUAUAGGCUCCAUGCAAAUUCUCCAUAUGCCUGUAUGUUACUGACUUAGGUGUCCUAAGUUAGAUCCAAAUUUGCCUCUUUCUAAAGUAUUUGAAUCCUGUUAUCUCCUCCAGGAAGUUACUGAGUAAAACUGAAACACAGUAGUACCUAUCUUUGUAAGUCUGAAUUCAAAUGAGUCCUUGAGCUCUGUCAGGCAUUUGAUAUUAAAAUAAAUACACUGUCUCCGCUUCUCCUUGUGCUAAUGGGAAACGAUUUUCUGACACAAACCGCCUGAAAUGAUGAGGUGCAGCAUGUGCGUGAGCUGUCCAGUAAGAGGGUCAGAUCUUGACCACAGAGCAAAGGCAGUGUUAGGGUUAAAGGAUUUUCUUGACUGAGUUAGCACAAAGCUAUCAUUUAUUUAACAGAGUAUUCUCAAGGUUCAUAUGCUUUUGUGUACAGAUAAAACACCAAGGAUAAAGAUUAAACAGACCCUCCUCCCAGUCAGGGUUCCAAAAUGGUCAAUGCCAUCAGAGGGGAUAUAAGAGGAGGUUCCGGGUGUAGGCCUGAGCAGGUGGUUCUUGUGGAAUUUGAAGAACACGUAAAAGGGACUUGAGGCUUUGGAUUGUGGACUGGUUAGAGAUCAUGACAACAGCAGCAGCAGCAGCAACAAGAAUAAAACCCAACAAAGAAACAAAAUAAAAUAUUAUCCUCGCACUUGGCAACUAGGGUCAUGGGAAUAUGCUCUAUCAGAGAAGAAUCAUCCAGAGUGAGCAAGAAUAAGGCGGGAAUACACGGGCUGCUAAUACUUGACCUCCACAGAUGUCAGCUGGCCACAUCUCCUAGAGUGACAGAGGAUUCAAUGCCAUUAAAGAAGUAUGAGGGGGCAGAUACAAGGGUGGACUAUUAUCCUCACAAUCAAAGCCAGCAGGAUGACAUCCGGGUGGAGAACACGAGCAUAUGCAGCUGCUCCUCCACAGGCGAUGGCCGGGUCUUCUUCAUGCUAACUAGGUUAUAUAAUUCACUCUGAGUUCACAGACUAGGAAAUGCCAGAGAAGAACAAGAAAAUCAAAUAUGAAAUUUAAGGGAGAUAGAAACAGAGUGGCCAGCUUCCCCCAGGCAUCCGCUGCUGGUGUCAAUUUGAUGAAACUAGCCUCCAGUCUGCACAGAGAUCAAAGCGCCAGAUCUCACAAGAGCAGCCCUCAAGAAGAUGAUUCUGAUGUUCUGGACAGCUAGAGCAGGCACAGCCAUUCAUCACUGGUCCAUUUUCCUGUCAGGAUGAAUGGUCACCCGGGGCUGGGGGAUGGAGAAUUGGUCUUCAAAGAGAUUUAAAUGAAGACUGUAGGGCUUAACUAGAAAACAAGGAAUGCACAAAUAGUCGUGAUUUUUUUCUUUUCUAGAAUGAAAUAGAGGGGAAAGUGCGGGACUGUGUCAGCAUCUUUCACAGAAUAUAUUUUGUAAUGCAAUUAGCUUUAAAGCACGCACUCUGCGUUUCUCACAGAAAGCACAAAGCUGAAGACAUAACAUACUUGGACCUCAGGAUGAGUCCUUGUGUGUACCAAGUACAGAAAACCUGACUGGCAAGGACCUCAUUUUGUGGGUUCCCCCAACUUGCCUCUCGUGUGUCUCCCCUAGUCCUUUCCAUUCCCUUAGCCUGAGGUUAGCACUGACCUAGCCCAGGAGUCCUCUUCUCUAGGCGGUUUUACAGUCAGAGAAAUCUCAAGGGGAUAUUUGCUUAACUAGUAAAAGCUGGUAUUUCACUGAAAUCUGGGACAGGAGUUGGGGAGAUCACAUGGAUGACAGACAGCUUGACACACAGGGAUUUUUAAAACUCAGCAUUUCCCGUCACCAUAAUUGCUCAGUUGGAGGGAGAUCGUCACUCCCACGGAAGGUGAGAGACUGUCGUUUCAGGAAGAAGAGUCCUUUCAAAUGGGAUAAAGAUGAACGGCAUGAAAAGAUAAACGAAACCGUGUUUGUAAACGUUUUUACCUCACUGUGCCCUGACGACAACAUUUUCACAAACUAACCCUGUCAUAAAGAACUGGAUUUGGGGAAACAACUGUAAUGGCGUCCUACCCCUGCCCCUUCAGACUUCCCACUUUCAUAGACCUAUACUCUGAAGCUCGCCCUGGUAGUCUGCCACGGUCAGCGCUGACCAACAGAAAUCCUAGUACGUUAGCACGCUACAGAAAGGCUGCCCCGGUCUGAGUCCAGCUUGGCCUUGGGUAGCUCUGCUCAUGACUCAACUGCCUUAGACAACUGCACUCUGCCGUAGCCCUGGCAGAAGACGGCACGCCCUUGGUUUCAGGGAGAGAAGAACUUCAUAUCAGGAUAGAAAUCAACGCACAGCUUCUCUCAUGAAGAAGAUAUGGCUGGGACGAA